UCCUUGGUGGCUUAGUGGUUAAAAGAUUCAGCAUUGUCAUUGCUGUGGCUCGGGUUUGAUUGCUGGCCUAGGAA
rnacentral:tRNA from 1 species